rnacentral:misc_RNA from 1 species
GAUGAAGAACGUAGCGAAAUGCGAUAAGUAAUGCGAAUUGCAGAAUUUCCGUGAGUCAUCGAAUCUUUGAACGCACAUUGCGCCCACUGGUAUUCCGGUGGGCAUGCCUGUUCGAGCGUCAUUAUCCUCCCUCAAAACUCCUGUUUUGGUGUUGGGCCGCGUUGGUCACCUCCGACCAACGGGCCUCAAAGACAAUGACGGCGUCCGUGGGACCCUCUUCGCAGUGAGCUUUUGUUAGCGCGCGUUGAGUUUAAAGGACCCUCCGGGCCGGCCACCUUUAUCUAUUUUACAAGGUUGACCUCGGAUCAGGUAGGAAUACCCGCUGAACUUAAGCAUAUCAAUAAGCGGGAGGA